GUUCCUGAGAUAAUUUAUCUUUGAUCUCGAAAUAACCAUUUUAAAAACUGCCAUGUCCUUAAAGAGUAACUAGCGGGGUUUCGGAAAAAAUAUAGUGUUAUAUGGUC